GUGAGGAAUAUUGGACAAUGGGCGCAAGCCUGAUCCAGCCAUGCCGCGUGCAGGAAGACGCAUCUAUGGUGUGUAAACUGCUUUUGUACGGGAAGAAACACUCCCUCGUGAGGGAGCUUGACGGUACCGUAAGAAUAAGGAUCGGCUAACUCCGUGCCAGCAGCCGCGGUAAUACGGAGGAUCCAAGCGUUAUCCGGAAUCAUUGGGUUUAAAGGGUACGUAGGCGGUGUAAUAAGUCAGUGGUGAAAGCCCAUCGCUCAACGAUGGAACGGCCAUUGAUACUGUUAGACUUGAAUUACAAGGAAGUAACUAGAAUAUGUAGUGUAGCGGUGAAAUGCUUAGAUAUUACAUGGAAUACCAAUUGCGAAGGCAGGUUACUACUUGUGGAUUGACGCUGAUGGACGAAAGCGUGGGGAGCGAACAGGAUUAGAAACCCGUGUAGUCC
rnacentral:rRNA from 1 species